GUCACAAACUUGAAGUAGAAUAGUUGAGUAUGGUCAGCUGAUCCUACUAAUCUACUCUACCUCAAGUUUGUGCUC
rfam:Haemonchus contortus, ISE/inbred ISE, WGS project CAVP01000000 data, contig: Hcontortus_31450